rnacentral:rRNA from 1 species
CAGGGGCGGCUGCUAGACAUGCAGUCGACGGAAUUUCCAAUUGAGUAAUCAAGAGGGAAUUUAGUGGCGAAAGGGUGAGUAAUACAUAGGUAACGUACCCUGGACACCGGGAUAGCAGCGGUCUUCGGACCUUUAGCGAAAGUGCUGGUAAUACCGGAUGAAAUCCUACUGUCACAUGGCGGAAGGACCAAAGGGCUUCGGCCGGUCUGGGAGCGGCCUAUGUCGUAUCAGCUAGUUGGUGAGGUAACGGCCCACCAAGGCAUCGACGCGUAGCGGGACUGAGAGGUUGUUCCGCCACAUCGGGACUGAGACACUGCCCGGACCUCCACGGAGGGCUGCAGUAACGAAUAUUGCGCAAUGGGCGAAAGCCUGACGCAGCGACGCCGCGUGUAGGAUGAAGCUCCUCGGAGUGUAAACUACUGUCAGGGGUCAGAAAGUCCGAGCAAUCGGAUUGAUCAGCCCCAGAGGAAGUCACGGCUAACUUCGUGCCAGCAGCCGCGGUAAUACGAAGGCGGCAAGCGUUGUUCGGAAUCACUGGGCUUAAAGAGCACGUAGGCGGAAAGUUAAGUGUCUUGUGAAAUCCCUCGUCUCAACCGAGGAACUGCUUGACAUACUGGCUUUCUUGAGUCAGGUAGGGGCGCGUGGAACUCUAGGUGGAGCGGUGAAAUGCGUAGAUAUCUAGAGGAACGCCAGUGGUGAAGACGGCGCGCUGGGCCUGAACUGACGCUGAGGUGCGAAAGCGUGGGGAGCGAACAGGAUUAGAUACCCUGGUAGUCCACGCUGUAAACGAUGUCUACUAGGUCGUGGCAGUUCUGACACUGUCGCGGCCGAAGCAAAAGUGUUUAGUAGACCGCCUGGGGAGUACGGUCGCAAGGCUAAAACUCAAAGGAAUUGACGG